rnacentral:rRNA from 1 species
UACGUAGGUGACCAGCGUUGUCCGGAUUUACUGGGCGUAAAGAGCGCGCAGGCGGUCGUUCAAGUCGAGUGUGAAAGCCCCCGGCUCAACUGGGGAGGGUCAUUCGAUACUGAUCGACUCGAAGGCAGGAGAGGGAAGCGGAAUUCCCGGUGUAGCGGUGAAAUGCGCAGAUAUCAGGAGGAACACCGGUGGCGAAGGCGGAUCUCUGGGCCUUACCUGACGCUGAGGCGCGAAAGCUAGGGGAGCAAACAGG